CGGACGGGUGAGUAACGCGUGAGAAUCUGGCCUCAGGUCCGGGACAACCAUUGGAAACGGUGGCUAAUACCGGAUGUGCCUUCGGGUGAAAGAUUAAUUGCCUGAGGAUGAGCUCGCGUCUGAUUAGCUAGUUGGUGGGGUAAAAGCCUACCAAGGCGACGAUCAGUAACUGGUCUGAGAGGAUGACCAGUCACACUGGGACUGAGACACGGCCCAGACUCCUACGGGAGGCAGCAGUGGGGAAUUUUCCGCAAUGGGCGAAAGCCUGACGGAGCAAUACCGCGUGAGGGAGGAAGGCUCUUGGGUUGUAAACCUCUUUUCUCAGGGAAGAAAAAUGACGGUACCUGAGGAAUCAGCAUCGGCUAACUCCGUGCCAGCAGCCGCGGUAAUACGGAGGAUGCAAGCGUUAUCCGGAAUUAUUGGGCGUAAAGCGUCUGUAGGUGGAUAUUCAAGUCUGCUGUCAAAGACCGUGGCUCAACCAUGGAAAGGCGGUGGAAACUGAAGAUCUAGAGUGCGGUAGGGGCAGAGGGAAUUCCCAGUGUAGCGGUGAAAUGCGUAGAGAUUGGGAAGAACACCGGUGGCGAAAGCGCUCUGCUAGGCCUGCGCUGACACUAAGGGACGAAAGCUAGGGGAGCGAAUGGGAUUAGAUACCCCAGUAGUC
rnacentral:rRNA from 1 species